rnacentral:tRNA from 2 species
GCGAAAGUGGCGGAAUUGGCAGACGCGCUAGAUUUAGGAUCUAGUGGGGUUAAACCCGUGGGGGUUCGAGUCCCCCCUUUCGCACCA